AUUGAACGCUGGCGGCAGGCUUAAUACAUGCAAGUCGAGGGGCAGCAUGAUUGUAGCAAUACAAUUGAUGGCGACCGGCAAACGGGUGCGGAACACGUACACAACCUCCCAAUAAGUGGGGAAUAGCCCAGAGAAAUUUGGAUUAAUACCCCGUAACAUAACGAUGUGGCAUCACAUUGUUAUUAUAGAUUUUUCGCUUAUUGAUGGGUGUGCGGCUGAUUAGAUAGUUGGCGGGGUAACGGCCCACCAAGUCUACGAUCAGUAGCUGAUGUGAGAGCAUGAUCAGCCACACGGGCACUGAGACACGGGCCCGACUCCUACGGGAGGCAGCAGUAAGGAAUAUUGGACAAUGGACGCAAGUCUGAUCCAGCCAUGCCGCGUGUGUGAAGAAGGCCUUCGGGUUGUAAAGCACUUUCAGUAAGGAGGAAGCGUUGAGUGUUAAUAGUACUCAGCGUUGACGUUACUUACAGAAGAAGCACCGGCUAACUCUGUGCCAGCCGCCGCCGUAAUAC
rnacentral:rRNA from 1 species